rnacentral:misc_RNA from 1 species
GAUGAAGAACGUAGCGAAAUGCGAUACGUAGUGUGAAUUGCAGAAUUCAGUGAAUCAUCGAAUCUUUGAACGCACAUUGCACCUCUCGGUAUUCCGGGAGGUAUGCCUGUUCGAGCGUCAUUUGUACCCUCAAGCUCUGCUUGGUGUUGGGUGUUUGUUCCGCCUCUGUGUGUGAACUCGCCUCAAAACAAUUGGCAGCCGGCGUACUUGUUUCGGAGCGCAGCACAUUUUGCGAUCCAGAUCAACGUACAGCGGCAUCCAAGAAGCCUUAUAACGCUCUUGACCUCGGAUCAGGUAGGGAUACCCGCUGAACUUAAGCAUAUCAAUAAGCGGAGGA